CAUUCGCAAUUUCACCGGUUCAGGUACUGAGUGACUCUCAGAUGUGCAUUUCUCAAGCAAUCUCGUCCUCAGGACCUGAGGUUGAAAAACCCUGAGAGCACCUCGGUAUCUAAGCCAGUGUUGCGAAAA
rnacentral:pre_miRNA from 1 species